GUUUAAAUAUGACAGUUGAGUUAAACGGGAAGUCAGUCAAAUCCUGACGCUGCCCCCGCAACGGUAGACGAGCAAAGACCAUUUAAAAUGUCACUGUAUCGGUUUUUUGAUGAGAUACGGGAAGGCGAGUGGUUAGUGCUGAGACACUCGUGAGCCCGGAGACCGGCCUUAAAUUUCA
rnacentral:ncRNA from 1 species